rnacentral:rRNA from 1 species
UACGAAGGGGGCUAGCGUUGUUCGGAAUUACUGGGCGUAAAGCGCACGUAGGCGGAUCGAUCAGUCAGGGGUGAAAUCCCGCAGCUCAACUGCGGAACUGCCUUUGAUACUGUCGGUCUAGAAUAUGGAAGAGGUGAGUGGAAUUCCGAGUGUAGAGGUGAAAUUCGUAGAUAUUCGGAGGAACACCAGUGGCGAAGGCGGCUCACUGGUCCAUUACUGACGCUGAGGUGCGAAAGCGUGGGGAGCAAACAGG